GGGGAUGACAGGUUUAGACAAGUAAAUUCUUUGACAAUGUGCAUGGUAGAGCUCUCACAACUCUUUAAACUAUGAGAAAGCAUAGAUGCUAAAAACACCUUUGCAAAAGCAGUCCCUUCUCCAUUUAUGGCGAAUGGAUUCGCUCUCGCUUUCGCUUAAUUCUUUUUGAAUUAACCCAAAGUGGCGGCUACUCCCUGAAGUCUGUUACGGGAAAUAGUUGAUAUAUCAUCGGACUAGGAAUCGUUUCUGUUUCGGAACGAAACUAAAGCAAAGAAAACUGGACUCUCUUUUAUUUUGUUGAUUUAAAGAAAGAGAGUUGAGACACUUAAAUCUUCUACACCAUGUAGAAACAUUAUCAAAACUUAUUUGCACGGGGGUUCGACUCCCCCCUUCUCCACAU
rnacentral:tmRNA from 4 species